AGUCGAGGGGCAGCGGGAUUGAAGCUUGCUUCAAUUGCCGGCGACCGGCGCACGGGUGAGUAACGCGUAUCCAACCUUCCGUACACUCAGGGAUAGCCUUUCGAAAGAAAGAUUAAUACCUGAUGGUAUGAUGAGAUUGCAUGAUAGCAUCAUUAAAGAUUCAUCGGUGUACGAUGGGGAUGCGUUCCAUUAGGUAGUAGGCGGGGUAACGGCCCACCUAGCCUACGAUGGAUAGGGGUUCUGAGAGGAAGGUCCCCCACAUUGGAACUGAGACACGGUCCAAACUCCUACGGGAGGCAGCAGUGAGGAAUAUUGGUCAAUGGACGAGAGUCUGAACCAGCCAAGUAGCGUGAAGGAUGAAGGUCCUACGGAUUGUAAACUUCUUUUAUAAGGGAAUAAAACCUCCCACGUGUGGGAGCUUGUAUGUACCUUAUGAAUAAGCAUAGGCUAACUCCGUGCCAGCAGCCGCGGUAAUACGGAGGAUGCGAGCGUUAUCCGGAUUUAUUGGGUUUAAAGGGAGCGCAGACGGGUCGUUAAGUCAGCUGUGAAAGUUUGGGGCUCAACCUUAAAAUUGCAGUUGAUACUGG
rnacentral:rRNA from 1 species